AUUGAACGCUGGCGGCAGGCCUAACACAUGCAAGUCGAACGAGUGGCGGACGGGUGAGUAAUGUCUGGGAAACUGCCCGAUGGAGGGGGAUAACUACUGGAAACGGUAGCUAAUACCGCAUACCAUCGGAUGUGCCCAGCUGGGAGUAGCUAGUAGGUGGGGUAACGGCUCACCUAGGCGACGAUCCCUAGCUGGUCUGAGAGGAUGACCGGCAACACUGUACCUGAGACACGGCCCAGCCUCCAACGGGGGGCAGAAGUGGGGAAGAUUGCACAAUGGGCGCAAGCCUGAUGCAGACAUGCCGCGUGGAUGAAGAAGGCCUUCGGGUUGUAAAGUACUUUCAGCGAGGAGGCGUUACUCGCAGAAGAAGCAUCGGCUAACUCCGUGCCAGCAGCCGCGGUAAUAC
rnacentral:rRNA from 1 species